GCGCCCAUAGCUCAAUGGCAGAGCAGUUGCCUCUUAAGCAAUUGGUUGGAGGUUCGAGUCCUCCUGGGCGCAC
rnacentral:tRNA from 1 species